rnacentral:rRNA from 1 species
AAAAAGACGAUAUAAAUAUAAUAAAUAAUAAAUUAUAUAUUAAUCGAAAUUUAUUUUUUUUUAUAAAAAAUAAUUAUCUGAAUAUAAAAAUAUUUUACUUUAUAAAAUAUUUAUAAAAACCUAAAGAACUGAAUCAUCUUAGUAUUUAGAGGAAAAUAAAGUAACAACGAUUUUUAAAGUAGAGGCGAUCGAAAAAAAAUAAUUAUUUAUAUAAAAAUAAAAAAAAAUUAAAUAAAUAAUUUUUUUUAUUUAAUAAGUAAAAUAAUUACAAAUUUUAUUUGAAUAUUUAUUAAGUAUCAUCUUAAAAAUUUUUUAAAAUAUAUUAAAACUUUAUAGAGAACAAGUACUGUGAAGGAAAGGUGAAAAGAUAUUUGGAAAAAUAAUUGAAAAGAUAAUGAAAUUUUUAUUUAUUUUAAUAAUAUAAUUUAAUUUAAAAUAAUUAAAUUAACUGCUUGUUGAAGAAUGAGUCAGUGAGUUAUAAUAAUACAAAAAAUAUUAAAAAAUUUUUAAAUAAUAGAUAAAUCAAAUUUUAAAUUAAUAAAAGUUAAUACUUAAAUUAAAUAUUUGUAUAUUAUAGACCCGAACCCAAAUGAGCUAAUUAUAUAUAAGAUUAUAAAUGUAAAAUAUUUAUAAGUCUGAACCAGUUGAUGCUGCAAAAUCAUUGGAUAAUAUAUAAUUAGAGGUGAAAUGCCAAUCGAAUUUGGAGCUAACUGGUUUUCUCCGAAAUGUAUUUAGGUACAGAUUUUAUAUAAUAUUUUUAAUAAAAGGUAAAGAUAUGUAUAAUUAUUUUUAUAUUUUUCAUAAUAUAAAAAUAAUUUAAUAAACUUAUAAAUUAUUAUUAAUUUUUAUAUUAACAUUAAAAUAUAUGUUUUUAUAAUUAAAUAAAAUAAAAAUUGAGACUAUUAGGGAUAAGCUUAAUGGUCAAAAGGGAAACAGCCCAGAUUAUUAGAUAAGGUCCAUAAAUAUUAAUUAAGUUUUUAUAAGAUAGUUAUAAUAUUAUUACAGCUAAAAUAUUAAGCUUAGAGGCAGCUAUUGUUUAAAGAGUGCGUAAUAGCUCAUUAGUAAAAUAAUAUAGCAUCAAAAAUAAUCAGGAAUAAAUUAAUUACCGAUUCUAUAAAUUUUAUUAAUUUAAAAAUUAAUAAAAAGGUAGGGGAACUUUUUAUAAAAUAAAAAUUAUAUUAAUAUUAAAUAAAUUUUUUAUAAAAGAGAUAAUGCUGAUUUAAGUAAUAAAAUAUUGAAAAAAAUUCAAUACCUCAAAUAUUUAAGGUUUUCUAUUAAUUUAAUUAUUAUAAUAGAUAUAGUCGAGACCUAAUAUUAGAUUAAUUAUAUAAUAGAUGGAAUAUAAAUUAAUAUUUUUAUACUUUUUUAUUUUAAUUUAAAAAAUUUAAUAAAUAUUUUUAUAAAAAAAUAUAAAAUAUAUUAAAUUUUUAAUAAAAUAAUUAAACUCGUACUAAAACUUAAACAGGUAAAUUUGUGGAAUAAAUAUUAAAAGGAUGAGUAAAAUAUCUUUAAGGAACUAGGCAAAUUAAUUCUGUAACUUAGGGAUAAAGAAUGCUUUUUGAGCACUAUAAACUUGGUUCGAACGACUGUUUAUCAAAAACACAAGCUUUUGCAAAAUUUAAUAAUGAUGUAAAAAAGCUGACGUCUGCCCAGUGCUGGUAUAGUGAAAAAAAAAUAUUUAUAUAUACAUAUAUUUUAAUAAACUCCAGUUAAACGGCGGCUGUAUUCAUAACGGUCCAAAGGUAGCGAAAUUCAUUGUCGGGUAAGUUCCGACCUGCAUGAAAGACGUAACGAUUUGAACACUGUCUUAAAGAUAAACUCAAUGAAAUAAUAAUAUCUGUGAAGAUACAGAUAACCAACACUAGGACAGAAAGACCCUAUGAAGCUUCACUACACUCUAUAAUUGAGUGAAAAUUUUAAUAAUUUAUAGAAUAAAUGGUUAAAAAUUUAUAAAAUUAUUUAAAUUUUUAAUAUAUGAAAUACCAUUAUAUUAAAAUAAAUAACUCUAACUAUUAAUUUAAUAUAACUUUAAAUAAAACAUUUAUAGAUUCGGUAGUUUGACUGGGGCGGUCCCCUCCUAAAAAGUAACGGAGGUGAACAAAGGUUGUAUUAUACUUAAUUAUUAAUAUAAAGUAAAAGCUUAAAGGUAAAAACAAUUACAGCUUAACUGUUAAGUAAACAAACUGAACAGAGAUGAAAAUCGGUCUUAUUGACCCGGCAAUUUAAUUUAUAAAUGAUUGUACUGUCGAUAAUCGGAUAAAAGUUACUCUAGGGAUAACAGGCUUAUCUUUCCUGAUAGUUCCUAUUGACGGGAAGGUUUGGCACCUCGAUGUCGGCUUAUCGCAUCCUUGAGACGAAAUAAGUUCAAAGGGUUGGUUUGUUCACCCAUUAAAGCGGUACGUGAGCUGGGUUCAAAACGUCGCAAGACAGUUUGGUCCAUAUCCAGUGUUGGUUUUUGAACAUUGCUUAAAUUUUUUUUAGUACGAAAGGAUUAAAAAGAUUAUGUAGAUGGUGUACUAAUUACUUAAUAGUAUAAAUGUUAGGUAGCUAAGCAUAAAUAGAAAUAUAAUCAUUGAAAGCAUAUAAAUGAGAAAUUUAUAAUAAAUAUGUUCAUUUUAAAAAAAAUAAAAGAAAACAUUUAUAUUAAAUGUAAAAAAAAUAAAUUUGUAUAUUUGUGGGGACACAUUUAGCAAAAAAUAUUUUUAUUUAAAAAUCAAAUUUUU